AUUGAAGUCCAACCAGAUCCUGAUAUUCCAUCUGGACCAACUGUAUGAAUGUAAAGGUGUAUAUUCACAGAUCUGGACCAACAACAUAACACAACAAAGAGAAAUCAGCAGGAGUAGCUCUGAGAGGAGAAACUAAAGGAGCUUUAGACCUGAAGGUUUCCCCAUUGCCACUCUGUGAAGGAAUGGUCCAUCCCACUGUGCUUCCUUCAAUACAGGCAGGAAUCAGCUAGCCCUGGGAUGGGUAGACCUUCCAGGGUCCAGAAGGCCCAGGAACUGAAAUAUAAGAAUACAAAUACGCAGAUGGUGUUUCGACUGUAAUGGCUAACUUGACAGUGGAAGGGACGAUGUGAAGACAAGGUGAAGGGAAGAAACCAGAGGCAUAAGGUGAAAUGACUAGAAAGAUGAUCCUUGGGAGAAGAAAGUAGAAAGGUGUGCUGCUCAUUUAAAAUCACUCUUCCACCAGACACUGGAAACUGAAAAAGCUGUUAAACAUAGGGCAAUAUCUGACUUGGGAUGACUUGUUGGAGAGGAGUAGGAGGACGCUGAGCUUCUCUAGACUCUCAAACACAGCUAAAUAGUUAUCAAAUUAUUCUGAACACCCAAGAGGUCAAUCAGAGGCCCUGAGAGAACAAAAACUGCAAUUCUACGAAUAGAAAAGUGACCACUCCUGGAAGAUUCUGUGAAAAGCUGGAGGAAACUGUUUCCAAUUUCAUGACCGUUUAUCACUAAUCCAAAAUGACUGCAGCAUUACUUACAGACCUACAGACAGGAAGCUCUAAGAAUUGGUUUUAUCAUAUAUUUGCCCAGAAGCUCUGCUAAACCAGUUUUAUGCUUACAUAGAUGAGGGUAACAGUCUGGUGGGAAAAUGGGCAAAGUAUUAUACUGAGCUACAGAAUGGGAAAAAAAAUGUUAAUUUAUUUAAUGCAAUGGAAGAUUAAAAAAAAC